rnacentral:rRNA from 1 species
UACGUAGGGACCAAGCGUUGUUCGGAUUUACUGGGCGUAAAGGGCGCGUAGGCGGCAAUUCAAGUCAUCUGUGAAAUCUCCGGGCUUAACCCGGAACGGUCAGAUGAUACUGCUUUGCUAGAGUGCGGAAGGGGCAAUCGGAAUUCUUGGUGUAGCGGUGAAAUGCGUAGAAAUCAAGAGGAACACCUGAGGUGAAGACGGGUUGCUGGGCCGACACUGACGCUGAUAGCGCGAAAGCCAGGGGAGCAAACGGG